CAGCACACAGGAAAUGACCACUCAGCCAAUCACUGAUCUUAACAGUCAUCCACCUCAGCCAGUGAUUGGCUAAAUAGGCAUGUUGGGACCGGACUAGGAAGUGGAGAUCAACAGUAGCCCAACAACCCAUUUAAAGUGUCUCUGCUGGAGCCUGAUUUCCAUUAAAGGAUAUCCCCAUCAGGAAUUUGCCAGCAAUAUCCCAUAGGCCCCCGGUGACCUGUGUACAGGCGAUGGAGGUGGCUGGGAAUCCAAAAACAGCUGGCGUGGCAACAGGCACAGCACAAAGACCAGAUAAAAUAUGCAGAAAGGAAAGCGGGAUGAAGACACGUGAAUCUCGCUGAAUUAUAGAAGAAGAAAAAAAGGCCGCUUGGUUUUAUCUCCUCGAAACUCUGCAAAUCUAAGGAUGAAUAAAUGGAAGUAGACAAUGCAUUUUUCUGUGAAAUUACACUUUCAAUAAUCUGAAUUGAACCAUUUAUUAAUACC